rnacentral:rRNA from 1 species
GAUGAACGCUGGCGGCGUGCCUAAUACAUGCAAGUCGAGCGAACAGACGAGGAGCUUGCUCCUUUGACGUUAGCGGCGGACGGGUGAGUAACACGUAGGUAACCUACCUAUAAGACUGGGAUAACUUCGGGAAACCGGAGCUAAUACCGGAUAAUAUUUCGAACCGCAUGGUUCGAUAGUGAAAGAUGGCUUUGCUAUCACUUAUAGAUGGACCUGCGCCGUAUUAGCUAGUUGGUAAGGUAACGGCUUACCAAGGCAACGAUACGUAGCCGACCUGAGAGGGUGAUCGGCCACACUGGAACUGAGACACGGUCCAGACUCCUACGGGAGGCAGCAGUAGGGAAUCUUCCGCAAUGGGCGAAAGCCUGACGGAGCAACGCCGCGUGAGUGAUGAAGGUCUUCGGAUCGUAAAACUCUGUUAUUAGGGAAGAACAAACGUGUAAGUAACCGUGCACGUCUUGACGGUACCUAAUCAGAAAGCCACGGCUAACUACGUG